UCAAAUCGUAAUCGACGGACAUACAUAGAAACGUAAUUCACUUAUAAAUCUAAUCGGUUAUAUUGAAGCUAUGCUUCUUAUGGAACGCCUGGGCGCUGGCGGUCAACGAAGAAAAACCGCAACGCAUGCAUAUGUUUGUUUGUCCUUUGCGCAUUACUAUACCAUUCAUCCGAUAAAUUCACUUAAAAAUAGUUAAACAAUUAUAAAUCUAACCGUUCUAUAACUUUAUUUUUAUAAUUAUAGUUCGUCAAUACUCCACCGCUUCUGCAUUAUUGUUAUCUGCUUCGAAACUGAUGUACCCUGACGCUAAAGGAGUUUGUCCUAAGUACUACGAUCGAUGAAGAUUUCGAUAAAGAUGUGGUCGGAUUUUUAGAUGAAUUGAUUGGACAAUUAUUUUAUGAACUUUCGGUUGCAUUUGAACCUUCUGCCUUGAAAACGGAUGGCAAACUGAAUUUGGACGAGCAAACUGACAAUAAGUUGUAUCAGACGACAACAGAUGAACGCCAUUCACAGACCGACAAUCAAACAGUUUUGAUAUGUUUAUUAGUGUUUGAUGCACAAGACCUUGUUCGAAUACCGGAUGUAAUAUCCCCAGUGCCAAUUGAGUCUCAGUAUUCCACAUCUCACCCACGAGCCCGACGGUCAAUGUGGAGACGGGCCAAAAGAGCUGUUUUUGUUCGGACAUUAAAAUUUUAAUAUAAGGACGUUUCACCAAUUAACACUUCAUUAUUAGACAUUAUACGACAACAGCUAAAAAUACCGGUUAGAUUAAUAAUUUAAUUUUCUCAUCAUAAAGAACACAUUUUUUUAAAAUUUAAUUCAUACAUACAUUUA